GCGUAGUGGUUGUAGUUACCCAUUUGCAGGAACCCGUAGAUCCGAACUUGUGCUGCCGUUUCACAUGUUACAAGAACGGAUGUAUGGGAUUCUGCCGAUGUAUGGCUAAAGCAUCGAUCGAU
rnacentral:precursor_RNA from 11 species